UCACCAAAAUUUCGCCAUCUACUUCUCUUGGCAGCACAGAAGAAUGGACAAAUGAGCCUACACAUUUUACAUAGAGUAUGGCAAGAGGG